UUGCCCUAGUAACGGCGAGUGAAGCGGCAACAGCUCAAAUUUGAAAUCUGGCUUCGGCCCGAGUUGUAAUUUGUAGAGGAAGCUUUUGGCGCGGCACCUACUGAGUCCCCUGGAACGGGGCGCCAGAGAGGGUGAGAGCCCCGUAUAGUGGGAUGCCUAGCCUCUGUAAAGCUCCUUCGACGAGUCGAGUAGUUUGGGAAUGCUGCUCAAAAUGGGAGGUAAAUUUCUUCUAAAGCUAAAUAUUGGCCAGAGACCGAUAGCGCACAAGUAGAGUGAUCGAAAGAUGAAAAGCACUUUGAAAAGAGAGUUAAACAGCACGUGAAAUUGUUGAAAGGGAAGCGCUUGUGACCAGACUUGCGCCCGGUUGAUCAUCCGGUGUUCUCACCGGUGCACUCCUCCGGGCUCAGGCCAGCAUCGGUUCUCGCGGGGGGAGAAAGGCCCAGGGAACGUAGCUCUUCCGGGAGUGUUAUAGCCCUGGGUGUAACGCCCUCGCGGGGACCGAGGUUCGCGCAUCUGCAAGGAUGCUGGCGUAAUGGUCAUCAGCGACCCGUCUUGAAACACGGACCAAGGAGUCAAGGUUUUGCGCGAGUGUUUGGGUGUCAAACCCGCACGCGUAAUGAAAGUGAACGUAGGUGAGAGCUUCGGCGCAUCAUCGACCGAUCCUGAUGUAUUCGGAUGGAUUUGAGUAGGAGCGUUAAGCCUUGGACCCGAAAGAUGGUGAACUAUGCUUGGAUAGGGUGAAGCCAGAGGAAACUCUGGUGGAGGCUCGCAGCGGUUCUGACGUGCAAAUCGAUCGUCAAAUCUGAGCAUGGGGGCGAAAGACUAAUCGAACCAUCUAGUAGCUGGUUACCGCCGAAGUUUCCCUCAGAUAGCAGUGUUGUUCUUCAGUUUUAUGAGGUAAAGCGAAUGAUUAGGGACUCGGGGGCGCUUU
rnacentral:rRNA from 1 species